CCCAGAGAGAUUCUUCACCUCUGCGAGAUAGAAUGCCGGAGAGAUUAAAAACCUGCAAAACUAGGAGGAGUCCUUGCAGCACACCCCUUUAAAAUGGUACCGUCGUGGGAAUGGAGGGUGGGUUAUAAGGAAGCAGGCUUUUUAUUAUAUGAAAAUAUUUGUGUUUGAGAAGGGGGGCCACCGGUGGCCCAACCCAAUUCCUGCAAUGAGAGACGAGUUUUCAGGACCUUUGUGGAGCCGCCUCCGGUGACUUGUCAUUAAUGUCCUGCCCUGUGAACCUUAUUGAUUUGUUGCACUCCCCGAUCAAAAAUCCAAGCAACAUCUUUGAGAAAAACUAAUAAUCGGAGUCUUCGGGGCAACAUGCAGCUGUGGUCUGUAUCCAUCAUCACCUGUCUGCUGUGUGGCCAAAGUGACAAGGAGACGUGCUCUAAAUUGGUUGGUACCGAGGUCAAGACCAUGAGAGUCAAUAUGGAUGCCCAGGCCUAGGGUAUUAACAUUCCUCCUAAGCAAAUCACUAAGACAAGUUCUAAAAAGCAAACAAGGACAGCCAUCCACACAAAUUGCCAAGGAAAUCGUCAGUCAUCCAUCAGAUGGCCCCCACUCCAGCAACAGAGUGGCUUCAGAAAUUGUGGGAGGAGCUAAGAGAGCCGCUUUCAUCCCUUGUGUUCACAGGCAAGCGCAAGGUCAGCUGCCUGCGACUGAAACAAACCACCAUCCAAACUGUGUGCUGCCACACAGUUCCUGAGAGACCUAAAAUUUUCUUCAUACAAGGGAGGCUUUGACAUUAAAAGGAAGAAAUGAAUGCCCAUAAUAAAAAUAAAAACUAUCUUC